rnacentral:rRNA from 1 species
AAUGAACGCUGGCGGCAGGCCUAACACAUGCAAGUCGAACGGAUCCUUCGGGAUUAGUGGCGGACGGGUGAGUAACGCGUGGGAACAUACCCUAAGGUUCGGAAUAACGAUUAGAAAUGAUCGCUAAUACCGGAUAAGCUCGAGAGAGGAAAGGUUUACCGCCUUGGGAGCGGCCCGCGUUAGAUUAGGUAGUUGGUGGGGUAAAGGCCUACCAAGCCUACGAUCUAUAGCUGGUCUGAGAGGAUGAUCAGCCACACUGGGACUGAGACACGGCCCAGACUCCUACGGGAGGCAGCAGUGGGGAAUAUUGGACAAUGGGGGAAACCCUGAUCCAGCAAUGCCGCGUGAGUGAUGAAGGCCUUCGGGUUGUAAAGCUCUUUUACCUGUGACGAUAAUGACGGUAACAGGAGAAUAAGCCCCGGCUAACUUCGUGCCAGCAGCCGCAGUAA